UACGUAGGGGGCUAGCGUUGUCCGGAUUUAUUGGGCGUAAAGAGCGUGUAGGCGGCCAGGUAGGUCCGGUGUGAAAACUCGAGGCUUAACCUCGAGAUGUCAUCGGAAACCAUCUGGCUAGAGUCCGGAAGAGGAAAGUGGAAUUCCUGGUGUAGCGGUGAAAUGCGCAGAUAUCAGGAAGAACACCAAUGGCGAAGGCAGCUCUCUGGGACGGUACUGACGCUGAGACGCGAAAGCGUGGGGAGCGAACAGG
rnacentral:rRNA from 1 species